rnacentral:rRNA from 1 species
UACGUAGGGGGCUAGCGUUGUCCGGAAUCAUUGGGCGUAAAGCGCACGUAGGCGGUUUGUUAUGUCGGAUGUGAAAGCCCUUGGCUUAACUGAGGAAGUGCAUCCGAAACUGGCAAGCUAGAGUACUAAAGAGGGUCGCGGAAUUCCCGGUGUAGAGGUGAAAUUCGUAGAUAUCGGGAGGAACACCGGUGGCGAAGGCGGCGACCUGGGUAGAUACUGACGCUGAGGAGCGAAAGCGUGGGGAGCGAACAGG